UCAUUUCUUUUCGACUGAAGAAAGAAAGACAAACAUCUUGGAUGACAUGGGGGGAAUACAUCUUUAUAUGAACAACUGAAAUGAAUGACUAAAAGUUUGGUGGUCCAACAUCUACUGGAUAAUGGACAGGAUUUCAUUGCACCAUGUCGAAGACUCGAAUAUGAAGAGGAUUCUUUAAAUGGACUUCUUAGUGCCCCAUGUGACCCCACAGGACUCCAUUACAGUGGAUAUGUGUGCAUUCUGUUUUCAUGUUUCAAAGCAGAGUGGAUUGGGGCUGGGUACACACGAUGGCCCUCUCUGAUUUCACCCUCUGGAGAAUGUACUCAGGUGGUCCUAUCAGGUGUGAAACUGACUGCGGUAAAGACAGGGGAUUUGUCAAGACAAGCUGGAACCAUGCCCAGAGUGAGGGGGUUGAAGGCUUUUUAGGUUUUCUUUUAAAAUGUCACAAUGCUGUCAUUCACUAAGUGUGGUUGAUUGCAAGCAGACCAGACUCUGAUGCUUAUUCUAAACUCUCCACAGGUAGACAGAGGGAGAGUUCACAGCAAGCAUUAAGGAUCCAUUUUGGACCCAUCUCUGACUGGUUCAGACUUUGAAUGACACCUUCAAUAGCAGAAACCAGAAAGACCUCUGGGUGUGGAGAUACUGGCAAGAUUAUUUUUUGUCCAUUUAAUUAAAACUAAACCCUGUAAUUCUGAUUUAUUAAAAACUCUUGUUUCCAAUAAAUCAUUCAGUUAAAUCAA